CAGCCGCCACGGUAAUACGUAGGUGGCAAGCGUUGUCCGGAAUUAUUGGGCGUAAAGGGCUCGCAGGCGGUUUCUUAAGUCUGAUGUGAAAGCCCCCGGCUCAACCGGGGAGGGUCAUUGGAAACUGGGAAACUUGAGUGCAGAAGAGGAGAGUGGAAUUCCACGUGUAGCGGUGAAAUGCGUAGAGAUGUGGAGGAACACCAGUGGCGAAGGCGACUCUCUGGUCUGUAACUGACGCUGAGGAGCGAAAGCGUGGGGAGCGAACAGGAUAAGAUACCCCGGUAGUCCCUGUCUCUUAUAC
rnacentral:rRNA from 1 species